rnacentral:rRNA from 1 species
GGUGAUAUCAUUAUAGUUGUUAGCUAUUUUUUUGUUAAAGUAAAAGGUCGCGUCCGAGAUCUAAAAAGGGUUGUUCGUCGGCAGCGUAAGAUUGUUAUAAGAGACAGGAGGACGACGGAGCACGUGAAAUUCCGUCGGAAUCUGGGAGGACCAUCUCCUAAGGCUAAAUACUCUCUAGUGACCGAUAGUGAACCAGUACCGUGAGGGAAAGGUGAAAAGCACCCCGGAAGGGGAGUGAAAUAGAACCUGAAACCGUGUGCUUACAAGUAGUCAGAGCCCGUUAAUGGGUGAUGGCGUGCCUUUUGUAGAAUGAACCGGCGAGUUACGAUUUGAUGCAAGGUUAAGCAGUAAAUGUGGAGCCGUAGCGAAAGCGAGUCUGAAUAGGGCGUUUAGUAUUUGGUCGUAGACCCGAAACCAGGUGAUCUACCCUUGGUCAGGUUGAAGUUCAGGUAACACUGAAUGGAGGACCGAACCGACUUACGUUGAAAAGUGAGCGGAUGAACUGAGGGUAGCGGAGAAAUUCCAAUCGAACCUGGAGAUAGCUGGUUCUCUCCGAAAUAGCUUUAGGGCUAGCCUCAAGUGAUGAUUAUUGGAGGUAGAGCACUGUUUGGACGAGGGGCCCCUCUCGGGUUACCGAAUUCAGACAAACUCCGAAUGCCAAUUAAUUUAACUUGGGAGUCAGAACAUGGGUGAUAAGGUCCGUGUUCGAAAGGGAAACAGCCCAGACCACCAGCUAAGGUCCCAAAAUAUAUGUUAAGUGGAAAAGGAUGUGGCGUUGCCCAGACAACUAGGAUGUUGGCUUAGAAGCAGCCAUCAUUUAAAGAGUGCGUAAUAGCUCACUAGUCGAGUGACACUGCGCCGAAAAUGUACCGGGGCUAAACAUAUUACCGAAGCUGUGGAUUGUCCUUUGGACAAUGGUAGGAGAGCGUUCUAAGGGCGUUGAAGCAUGAUCGUAAGGACAUGUGGAGCGCUUAGAAGUGAGAAUGCCGGUGUGAGUAGCGAAAGACGGGUGAGAAUCCCGUCCACCGAUUGACUAAGGUUUCCAGAGGAAGGCUCGUCCGCUCUGGGUUAGUCGGGUCCUAAGCUGAGGCCGACAGGCGUAGGCGAUGGAUAACAGGUUGAUAUUCCUGUACCACCUAUAAUCGUUUUAAUCGAUGGGGGGACGCAGUAGGAUAGGCGAAGCGUGCGAUUGGAUUGCACGUCUAAGCAGUAAGGCUGAGUAUUAGGCAAAUCCGGUACUCGUUAAGGCUGAGCUGUGAUGGGGAGAAGACAUUGUGUCUUCGAGUCGUUGAUUUCACACUGCCGAGAAAAGCCUCUAGAUAGAAAAUAGGUGCCCGUACCGCAAACCGACACAGGUAGUCAAGAUGAGAAUUCUAAGGUGAGCGAGCGAACUCUCGUUAAGGAACUCGGCAAAAUGACCCCGUAACUUCGGGAGAAGGGGUGCUCUUUAGGGUUAACGCCCAGAAGAGCCGCAGUGAAUAGGCCCAAGCGACUGUUUAUCAAAAACACAGGUCUCUGCUAAACCGUAAGGUGAUGUAUAGGGGCUGACGCCUGCCCGGUGCUGGAAGGUUAAGAGGAGUGGUUAGCUUCUGCGAAGCUACGAAUCGAAGCCCCAGUAAACGGCGGCCGUAACUAUAACGGUCCUAAGGUAGCGAAAUUCCUUGUCGGGUAAGUUCCGACCCGCACGAAAGGCGUAACGAUUUGGGCACUGUCUCAACGAGAGACUCGGUGAAAUCAUAGUACCUGUGAAGAUGCAGGUUACCCGCGACAGGACGGAAAGACCCCGUGGAGCUUUACUGUAGCCUGAUAUUGAAAUUCGGCACAGCUUGUACAGGAUAGGUAGGAGCCUUUGAAACGUGAGCGCUAGCUUACGUGGAGGCGCUGGUGGGAUACUACCCUAGCUGUGUUGGCUUUCUAACCCGCACCACUUAUCGUGGUGGGAGACAGUGUCAGGCGGGCAGUUUGACUGGGGCGGUCGCCUCCUAAAAGGUAACGGAGGCGCUCAAAGGUUCCCUCAGAAUGGUUGGAAAUCAUUCAUAGAGUGUAAAGGCAUAAGGGAGCUUGACUGCGAGACCUACAAGUCGAGCAGGGUCGAAAGACGGACUUAGUGAUCCGGUGGUUCCGCAUGGAAGGGCCAUCGCUCAACGGAUAAAAGCUACCCCGGGGAUAACAGGCUUAUCUCCCCCAAGAGUUCACAUCGACGGGGAGGUUUGGCACCUCGAUGUCGGCUCAUCGCAUCCUGGGGCUGUAGUCGGUCCCAAGGGUUGGGCUGUUCGCCCAUUAAAGCGGUACGCGAGCUGGGUUCAGAACGUCGUGAGACAGUUCGGUCCCUAUCCGUCGUGGGCGUAGGAAAUUUGAGAGGAGCUGUCCUUAGUACGAGAGGACCGGGAUGGACAUACCUCUGGUGUACCAGUUGUCGUGCCAACGGCAUAGCUGGGUAGCUAUGUGUGGACGGGAUAAGUGCUGAAAGCAUCUAAGCAUGAAGCCCCCCUCAAGAUGAGAUUUCCCAACUUCGGUUAU